UGGUGGUUCUGUAGUUUUGUAGCCAGUUGAAGGGCUAAAUUGGCUGGUCGAAGCGGGUAGGAGGAGAGCAGCAGUUCCUUACACUUCUUCACCUACAGAAGGUCCGGGGGUUGGUGUCUGUAUCUAGCUGGUGAUAGAAGGCAGUCCACUGUUUCUGUUUGUGGAGGACAGAGCUCUACAGUUGAGGUCAGGUUGUCU